CUGAACUGAAUGUUGCGAAAAUGAAGAUGUGGGGAAUAUUUUUAUUCGUCAUCACAGGAAACGGGCCAGUUUAAAAAGGGAUUCCGGGUUUAUAGAGUCGGCUUGUUUAUUCAACAAUUUAGUUCUUGCAUAAUAACCCAGGCAAGUGACUAUGGAAUAGUAGCAGUUUUUCUAACCAUACUGAGUGCAUGGGUGCAUGACUCAGAGUGCUGACACAGCAUGUGAGCAUGGAAAGACAAGACCCGCAGUCAAUUCUGGGAUCAGAGGUCACCGCUUCCUCGAUAAACCUCCGGAGACGCAGCGUGAGGAUGGCUACCUUUGAUCAAUCGGAGUUUCGAACCGGAAGCAGGAGAGUGAAUUUGGCCGUGACUCUUUCAAACACACGAAAAUAUCUUUUUGUAGUGCAUGAUUGACACACCAAAGUAUAAUUACAGAAGCAAUUACAGGCCAUUACAACGUCCGUAUAGUGUCUGAGAUGUCUGGCCUGUCAAAUCAAAGGGAAAUGUACCUGUACAUGUGUACAUUCUUCACAAAUGAUAUGAAGCUUAGAAGUUUUCUUAGCCGAAAAAUCUCUUCACCCCCUCCUCCAUCUUUUCCGCCUGACAUGUUUAGCAUAAGUCGUGGCACUGCGACUUAUCCGCUCGACACGACACAGCAAGUUUCUGGAUAACUACAACAAGGCUGAUUUGUUCCCCCAGUAGUAGAUGAGGGAAUAUUAGCACAAAGCUGCUGCCAAAGGCUUUCCGUGUGAAUGAGAGGCAGCUGCACACAAGACGUGCGUGCGGCACAGCUAAAAGACGGCAUGGGAGCGAGGAAACUCAGGUAACCGAGUAGCAGAGACAUGCAUAAAAGAAUAUUCACACACAAGGCAGUGGGUUGCAAAGGGUUGAGGCACCCCAGCUGCCGAGGCCCCCGGUGAGGUGAGGAGGUCAGGAACAUUACCCUCCAUUUGUAAAGGAGAGAGUAGGCAUGUCCAACAAGUCCCACCUGCCACUAUAUUUAUGAAAUUACUCAUUGGAGGUUUUGGCUUCCAUCAGGCUUUACACUGGAAAGUCUUCGGAGCAGUAAGAAACACAAGUCAACCUCUUCCAAGCAUUCAGGCUCUAGCAACACCUAAUAGAUUUUCCCGACGGACAACGGUUAUUCUAAUUGAAUCCACACACAGUAGGCGGUAUCGCGGCUAAAUUCCCACUAAUGCAAGAGCCGCCGGUACGAGGUGGGCCCUUUUCACAUACUGAUCCUCUUGGACUCUGCUUAAUUUAACAGAAUCACUAAAAUGUUUCUCACACAUGUACAAACACACACAGGUUCUCACAGCGUAUAUUUAGACAUGUAAUCCUCUGCGAAGCUCACAGCGGACGGCGCGGCUCAAAGACCCCUGGCUGCGUGUACAAUAAGGGGGACUUAUUGAAACAAGGCUGGCACUGAGAGCGCAGCAGUGGGGGGAUUUAUUUGGAGAACAGCAGCGCACUGGCUAAACUUUGAUCAGCCCUCGUGCACUGCCGCCCUUUUCUCUUUCUCCCAGACACGGGCUGGCCGGUGAACGCCGGGGGACUAUGGAGGGGCUUGUCUCUUGGCAACAGAGACAAGCUUGACUAACUUUUAUUUUGAUUGCAUUUAAUGGGUGCAAGUGACUUCAUUUUUUUCAAUUGACAGCUCUAUACUAUAUUUAACAUUUACUGCAAAGAUUGCAUGGCGUCUUCAAUCGUGGCGCCCCACAGAGUGGAAAAACUCCACCGGCAGCUUUGCUCCUCUUAACCUACAAAAAAAAAACAUUGUGCAAACUUGACCUUGUGGGUUCUUAGUGCUGUAAUGACACCCGGUCUCUUUGUUGUGGGCCAAACGUGACGGUUAGCUUAGGCGGAAUGAUACUCAUCAGACUGCGGUGGAGAGAGACACUUCAUUUGGAAUUUUCGAGCAAGGGAACAGAGAUCAGAAGGUCAGAGCACUCCGCAAACUCCUAAAGCAGCAUCAGAGAUGAAAGUUAGCCUGAAUAAUCCCGUAAAGUGCUCAGACGGAGCAGAAAUUCCCCUGAGGGAGGUCUCCACAAUGUGAGCACCAACCCCCUCAAUAGACACAAAGACACCUCACAUCCAUUAAAAGAAUUAGCAAUUAGAAGACGAGCAAGAAACUAAGCGACCGGUGUUCGUUUGGACUGCCGAUGAGCCAAAAGUCUUUCUCUGACAUUUUCGACAGGAUGGCUCGUCACUAAUCGACUGCUGAGUGACUAGUUGUGGCAUGCGGUGUUCCGUUUCCCCUCCUUAUUCCCAGCCCUUCCCUCCGUGCGCCCCAGUCAACAUAGAUAAACACUCCCAGACAUAUAAAGGACCAACGUAAGAGACUAAUGGAGCUAAAAGCCCCAAUGAAAAAGAACACCGAGCUCAUAAACGUCAUGCCGUAACCAGUCGAACAAACAAAGCGCCGAAAACGGUUGCCUUGUGUUUACUUACUUCUACUCAAUGACAAGGGAUGCAUGCCGCGAGAUGGAGUCCCUUUAAAACUCCUCAUAAAGUUCGCCUAAAAGGUUCAAUUGGAGGAUGAGCCCAUCGGUGUCGUGACAUGUCAGAGUGACUUCAUUGUUUUGAAGACCAAAGUGAGUCACUGCCUUUAAGUUAGAAGUCCUUUGUUGGGGUUUGUGAUUUAUUUUCAGGUUUUAAUUUGUCUGAAAUUCCAAAAUAAGGAAUAGAUUGAAAAAGUACAAAUAAGAGUAAGAAGAAUAUCGAGAAUUUACCGUAUUUUUUGGGCUAUAGGCACUUAAAAUCAUUUAAUUUCUUUAAAAAAAAAGUGUGCUUUAUAAUCAUGGACGUCCAAUUGAAGUUAAAUAAAGUUUGACUUAUCUGCUGUACUGAUUUGUUUCCCUUUAUUGGCAGUAAUCUGCCUUAUAACUCAGUGCGCCUUAUAUACAGAAAAUUCCCAAAACAGAGACUGCACCUUAUGUUCUCAUAAACCAUACAGUCCGAAAAAUAUGGUAAAUGAAAUAUACAGACUCAGGUAACUUGAAUCUUUCUUAUUUUAAAAAAUUCUAAACAAAUCUUUCAUUUAAUAUAAAGAGCCUCGGUAUAUUAGCAAGUAUGUUCAAGCACAACGAAUAUAGUUGACGAUAGUUAAAGUCUUACGAGUACAAGUACAUCAUGGGGCUUUUACGUUCCCAUUAUAAAAAAGAAAGAAAAUAGUACAAACCCCACCCUGGCCUUUGACCCCGGGAGCAUGUCUGUAGCCCAAACAACUCAACUAUGUUGCAGCCAGUGUGGUUUGAAUUACAAGCUCAAAGGAUAGUUCAAGUUUAUGUGGACGGGUGGGUUAAGAGGUACAGACACUGGGGGUUGGAGGGAGAGGGGGCGCUUGAAUCCCUGUCAGAUCUGGGCGACUGCUUUAUUUGAUGUGUGCCAGGCAGGCUGGUUCUGUCACUCAGCCUGAGUUGGGCGUCCUUUGAGAGGGGCUCAGCUUCAAAAUCCUGAAAAGACCACCGUGGAGAAAAUGGAGGGGGAUGAGGAUGGCAUCACAGCACCUCGAGGUCAACAGUAACCAUGAGCAGACUUUUUCUGAUGUGGGAAGAAGAUAACGCCUCACAUGGUGAAAAGGAGGCCCGGAGCCAACACAACAUCAACAUUAUUGGACAGAUUUGUCUCUGUCUCUCUAACCCUUCAACAACAAUGACUGUAUUCAUUUGUGUGCACGUUCAAAGUAAUAUCAGUCACAUAUGAGCUGGACAAACGCUGAGAGACUUUUCUUGUAAAGCGUGAAAUCAAACGGCGGGAUUUAUCAGCGAGACAUGGUCGCAUUCCUCAACGACUGUGUUUGUUGUUUUAAAGUGCAGGCAGUGAAGGAGGCUGAUGCUGCGUAUUAAAUAUGAUUUGAGUGACUAUUUAGAUUAAGACGGUGGGUUUGAUCGUCUCUGGACACUCCAUUAGGUACAGUAGUCUGUCAUGAUGAAGAUGAUCCCGUUUUCAGAGAGUUUAAUCACAUGUAUAGGAAUUCAAACGGCCACUGCCCUUUUAACUCCACUGAUGUUUUACUGCUAAUAAAAGGUGUUAACAACAA